UUAAGCGACUAAGCGUACACGGUGGAUGCCCUGGCAGUCAGAGGCGAUGAAGGACGUGCUAAUCUGCGAUAAGCGUCGGUGAGGUGAUAUGAACCGUUAUAACCGGCGAUUUCCGAAUGGGGAAACCCAGUGUGUUUCGACACACUAUCAUUAACUGAAUCCAUAGGUUAAUGAGGCGAACCGGGGGAACUGAAACAUCUAAGUACCCCGAGGAAAAGAAAUCAACCGAGAUUCCCCCAGUAGCGGCGAGCGAACGGGGAGGAGCCCAGAGCCUGAAUCAGUGUGUGUGUUAGUGGAAGCGUCUGGAAAGGCGCGCGAUACAGGGUGACAGCCCCGUACACAAAAAUGCACAUACUGUGAGCUCGAUGAGUAGGGCGGGACACGUGGUAUCCUGUCUGAAUAUGGGGGGACCAUCCUCCAAGGCUAAAUACUCCUGACUGACCGAUAGUGAACCAGUACCGUGAGGGAAAGGCGAAAAGAACCCCGGCGAGGGGAGUGAAAAAGAACCUGAAACCGUGUACGUACAAGCAGUGGGAGCCUCUUAAUGGGGUGACUGCGUACCUUUUGUAUAAUGGGUCAGCGACUUAUAUUCUGUAGCAAGGUUAACCGAAUAGGGGAGCCGAAGGGAAACCGAGUCUUAACUGGGCGUUAAGUUGCAGGGUAUAGACCCGAAACCCGGUGAUCUAGCCAUGGGCAGGUUGAAGGUUGGGUAACACUAACUGGAGGACCGAACCGACUAAUGUUGAAAAAUUAGCGGAUGACUUGUGGCUGGGGGUGAAAGGCCAAUCAAACCGGGAGAUAGCUGGUUCUCCCCGAAAGCUAUUUAGGUAGCGCCUCGUGAAUUCAUCUCCGGGGGUAGAGCACUGUUUCGGCAAGGGGGUCAUCCCGACUUACCAACCCGAUGCAAACUGCGAAUACCGGAGAAUGUUAUCACGGGAGACACACGGCGGGUGCUAACGUCCGUCGUGAAGAGGGAAACAACCCAGACCGCCAGCUAAGGUCCCAAAGUCAUGGUUAAGUGGGAAACGAUGUGGGAAGGCCCAGACAGCCAGGAUGUUGGCUUAGAAGCAGCCAUCAUUUAAAGAAAGCGUAAUAGCUCACUGGUCGAGUCGGCCUGCGCGGAAGAUGUAACGGGGCUAAACCAUGCACCGAAGCUGCGGCAGCGACGCUUAUGCGUUGUUGGGUAGGGGAGCGUUCUGUAAGCCUGUGAAGGUGGCCUGUGAGGGUUGCUGGAGGUAUCAGAAGUGCGAAUGCUGACAUAAGUAACGAUAAAGCGGGUGAAAAGCCCGCUCGCCGGAAGACCAAGGGUUCCUGUCCAACGUUAAUCGGGGCAGGGUGAGUCGACCCCUAAGGCGAGGCCGAAAGGCGUAGUCGAUGGGAAACAGGUUAAUAUUCCUGUACUUGGUGUUACUGCGAAGGGGGGACGGAGAAGGCUAUGUUGGCCGGGCGACGGUUGUCCCGGUUUAAGCGUGUAGGCUGGUUUUCCAGGCAAAUCCGGAAAACCAAGGCUGAGGCGUGAUGACGAGGCACUACGGUGCUGAAGCGACAAAUGCCCUGCUUCCAGGAAAAGCCUCUAAGCAUCAGGUAACAUCAAAUCGUACCCCAAACCGACACAGGUGGUCAGGUAGAGAAUACCAAGGCGCUUGAGAGAACUCGGGUGAAGGAACUAGGCAAAAUGGUGCCGUAACUUCGGGAGAAGGCACGCUGAUAUGUAGGUGAAGCGACUUGCUCGUGGAGCUGAAAUCAGUCGAAGAUACCAGCUGGCUGCAACUGUUUAUUAAAAACACAGCACUGUGCAAACACGAAAGUGGACGUAUACGGUGUGACGCCUGCCCGGUGCCGGAAGGUUAAUUGAUGGGGUUAGCGGUAACGCGAAGCUCUUGAUCGAAGCCCCGGUAAACGGCGGCCGUAACUAUAACGGUCCUAAGGUAGCGAAAUUCCUUGUCGGGUAAGUUCCGACCUGCACGAAUGGCGUAAUGAUGGCCAGGCUGUCUCCACCCGAGACUCAGUGAAAUUGAACUCGCUGUGAAGAUGCAGUGUACCCGCGGCAAGACGGAAAGACCCCGUGAACCUUUACUAUAGCUUGACACUGAACAUUGAGCCUUGAUGUGUAGGAUAGGUGGGAGGCUUUGAAGUGUGGACGCCAGUCUGCAUGGAGCCGACCUUGAAAUACCACCCUUUAAUGUUUGAUGUUCUAACGUGGGCCCCUGAUCGGGGUUGCGGACAGUGUCUGGUGGGUAGUUUGACUGGGGCGGUCUCCUCCUAAAGAGUAACGGAGGAGCACGAAGGUUGGCUAAUCCUGGUCGGACAUCAGGAGAUUAGUGCAAUGGCAUAAGCCAGCUUGACUGCGAGCGUGACGGCGCGAGCAGGUGCGAAAGCAGGUCAUAGUGAUCCGGUGGUUCUGAAUGGAAGGGCCAUCGCUCAACGGAUAAAAGGUACUCCGGGGAUAACAGGCUGAUACCGCCCAAGAGUUCAUAUCGACGGCGGUGUUUGGCACCUCGAUGUCGGCUCAUCACAUCCUGGGGCUGAAGUAGGUCCCAAGGGUAUGGCUGUUCGCCAUUUAAAGUGGUACGCGAGCUGGGUUUAGAACGUCGUGAGACAGUUCGGUCCCUAUCUGCCGUGGGCGCUGGAGAACUGAGGGGGGCUGCUCCUAGUACGAGAGGACCGGAGUGGACGCAUCACUGGUGUUCGGGUUGUCAUGCCAAUGGCACUGCCCGGUAGCUAAAUACGGAAGAGAUAAGUGCUGAAAGCAUCUAAGCACGAAACUUGCCCCGAGAUGAGUUCUCCCUGACCCUUUAAGGGUCCUGAAGGAACGUUGAAGACGACGACGUUGAUAGGCCGGGUGUGUAAGCGCAGCGAUGCGUUGAGCUAACCGGUACUAAUGAACCGUGAGGCUUAACCUU
rnacentral:rRNA from 1 species